AAAGGGAGACCUAAUUCCAGUAGGAGACGAAAAAAAAGUAGUCCCUACCAAGAAUCAAUCCCAAAAGGUCGGAGCGAGGCAAAAUUGGCUUUCAAACUAGGUUCUGGGUUCACACAAGACCUGAAUCAGGAACAAGGGCUAUUAGCUCAGGUGGUUAGAGCGCACCCCUGAUAAGGGUGAGGUCCCUGGUUCGAGUCCAGGAUGGCCCACCUGCACAGGUGGCAAAAACAAGAGAAGCGAGGAAUCAGCACCUUAUCUUACUGACAUAGUAAGAGAGAAUGCUGGCUCUGAGUAAAGAGUCCAGAGGAACCUUGAAAACUGCAUAGAGCUAGGUGAAAAAGCCAAAAAAGAAGACCGCAAG
rnacentral:tRNA from 1 species